ACUCACCAGAUAACUCUAGCUGCUUGCAGAGUCCUGGGAAUCUUAGCUUCUCCAGGAAACCAGCUUCAAGGGCAACAAGAGGUUCUGAGGAGCUAGAAUAAUCUCGGAAGCUGAAACUGCUUUGUCCUUUUGCUUCCUUAGGUUGGAAAUAUUUUUGCAAUACCACUGAAUCCUCCAGUUUUUACCCCUUACGAUGGGAAGUGAAUACAGUAUGAAAAGGGAGUGGGACAUAUGAGAGGAACGACAGGCUCAAAAUAUGAAGACUUAAUCCAGACACCUCUGUGUCUCUGAACUUGCGUUGUUUCUUCUUUGGAGGUGAAGUACACAUCGUUUUACUCCGGGCAGAGGACUUGUGCUCCUUUUGAGAACUUUCAGCUCUGUAGUGUCGAGUCUUCUGGUUUCCAGAUCCACAUCCUGCCCUGGGGGAAUUGACAUCCAUCAGCUUCUUCUAGGAAAGCACUCUGAAGCCAAGUUGAAACAUUAUACUCUCAGGCAGUAGUAGAGAUCAACCUCUUAAAACCAAAUCCAUGGGCCCAGGAGUAUGGAAAAGAGUUCAAUAAAAUGGCCUUAACUGGUAUAAGAAGUUACAAUUGUUAAAAGGAGAUUCAGCUGUGAUAGCAAAAGAGAAAGAAAAUGAAAAAGUUGUCCUGGCUCAUCUCUGGAAAGACAUGAUAUUUCAUAACCUCAAGGUGUUUGCUUCUGACCUAUAACUUCAAUUAUAGACCAGGUUAUCCAAAAGUUCUCCUUAUUAACAAGGUAUCUGUUUUUACCAGGUGUCUGUUAUUAAUUAGUUAGUAUAUAAUUUAAUGCAAUUAACCAAAGCACCUCUUAUGCCUAGAACAUAGCAGGUGGUUUACUUCUUUCUUAUGACAUAUUCAAGACUCAUGGUUUUCCCAUUUUUAGAGUCAAAAACAUAAAUUCCUCCUUUUGCUUUCCUGCGCUAACAUAUCCACCUCACACACCUGUUUACUCUUUGUUUGCAGGGAAAUGUGUACAUCUGCUAGGGCGUGAUCUCGAUGAUGAGGUGACAUAUGGGAUGUCAUUCCAUUAUUUAAAGAACAAAUUCCAAAGAUCAAACUUUUCUCCCCACACUUGUGAGUGAUACAUGGGUCUUCUCAGGGACAUUAAAAUGGAGCUAGUCUCACUGAUUUCAUGGACAUUUAGCAUACAAUUAUUGAGUUACCUGCUGAAAUCUCUUCAUACAUAUCUGGUUUCACCCUAGGUUAUGAAUAUCCAUGCAGACUAUUUUUCCAAGCUUCUACGCAACUAACCUUGGCACUUACCCCCAGCUCAGGCAGCAAGCAAAUUAUUCUGGCUUGAUGUCCAUCUGAUGGUUUACUCUUGCUACCUCCUACUCCCUACUAUAACCACAAAUGACCUCCUCCCCACUUGCUCUCAUUCUUACCAGAAGUUUUCAGUUAACAGCUCACUACUAAGCCAGUUUCCUUCUUAAAGUAUAUAUAUCCUUUUAAAAUUUCCAGUCUUGUUACUCUCUCUCUUCCUCUUCAAUUUCUUGUCCUGUUGUCACAAGAUCUCUUCUUAGCUCACCAAAUUAUCUUCUCUUCCCUUUCUCUUUUAUUCCAUUUAUGAACAAGACACCAACUUCUACCACAACAACAGAACAAAACAACCCCUAGCUUCAAAGAGAACAAAAAAACCCCAAAAUAAAUUAAAAAUGGCUUUAAUGCUUAGAGUUGCAGGGACAAGAAAAACCACAUUCUUUUAAAAUGAAAUUAGAUGUCAUAAAGGACUAUGAACUAGUAAGAGUUCCCCGAAGUCCCCUUCCGAAUCUCACAAAAGACUCCAUCUCCUUCUUCAUCUGGCUUUUUGUUAAUAACCAAUGUCCAAUAUAAAUAGAAACAUUGCUUUGUUUUGAUUGUAUUGCUCUUUCAUUUGUGCAAAUGGUAGUAUUUCUAUUGUAUCAAUGAUAAACUUUUUCAGGCAAGCCUGAGAUGGCAGAUUACAACAUUAUUUCUAUGGGAACACCCAUUCCUAAUUGGAAACAAUCAGAUUACCAACAGAGAGUUCAUAAACUGAGAGCUGCCUGCAAUGAGAACUGAUUUACACUCUGGUUUCUAAUUUAGAAACAAUUUCACUGUGCUAGUUUCUCCUUUUGCACAAAGAUUUAGGAUGGUGCAGUAGGGUAAGGAAAAAUGGCUUCCCUUCAGUCUGCUAGGUUCUUUGGCUGGGCUACAAAUUAAAUUGCCAUAAAACAGAUUAAUAGGAGAAAACCAUAUUUAAUAACAUGUAUGCAUGGGAGUCCCAUAAAAUAUGGGAUUGGAAGAAGGAUCAGAUGAUUAUAUAGCAUCCUGAGGUACAGAAAGGAGUAGGGGCUUGGCACUUCCAGGGGAUGGUGGCAACACAAGCAAUGGGAGGAUAAGGGGAGACAAUGUAUGGUGAAUAAAUGGUUGUCUUACGCAGACAUAAGGUCUCUCACGUAAUACAAGUUAUCUGGGAGCAGCCCUCAGAAAAAUAGGUGUUAAUCUGUGGGGUCAUGGUGUCCACCUCCAAUCUCCUCUCCUGUGAUCGAAGUUAAUCUUCCUUGGUUGAUAAGAUUCCCAGGGAGGGGAUUCAUGACAAUUUAGUUCCUUUUGGGGGCUGUCUUUAGGAAGACUAAAGGGAGCUCAGAGGAAGCCUCUGCCGGCAUCCACUGUUCCCCAAGUGUCCUCAGUUCAAAGCAAUAAACAUACCAAUGUGUCAUAUUUUGGGGUGGCAUUUCCUGAAUCCCUUUAGUGAAAAAAGGAGAAAAUAAGAAUAGGCACCUCAUAGAAAAAUUUACCUCUAUUUCAAAUAAUGCAUAUUGGGAAAUUGAAUUGAAUGAUGAAGCAAAUAAAAUAUUUAUUUAUUGUAUGUAAUAUAGAUGAGUCAAUGUCGCUUUGAGAAAUUUAACUUUUUAAUUUGCUAACUUGGUGUUUGUAUUGCAUUAGCAAUUGCAAAUGAAUAUUAUUCUCUUGCAAGUGUCAAAAAGAUAAUGUUGUGGGGAAAGCAGCUCCAACUGUUACUCAGGCAUGGCUGGAAAAAGCUUGCACUCUUCAUUGUCUUUUUCUAGUCACUGAAUCGCCAGCUUUAUUUCUAUGGUGGCAGGUAUACCAAAAUCAGAAUGGGAUUACACUCACAUAUUAGUAUAUACAGCAACCUGCCUGUGUGAAAUAUAUGCAAAUCUUCCCCUACAUACCAUGUAGUUAACUCUACAAUGAACAAUAUAUAAAUAUUGUGGGUAAAGUAAAUCAAUAUAAAAUCAUACAUUCACAUUCACAAUAUUUUAAAAAUAUCAAAAUGGUUUUGGCUAAGAACAUAAAACAUUUUAUUUUUGGAAAAGGAAGUCUGUUUCAAUAGUCUUGUUAAAAAUACUACCAUAUAAACUAUGCACUUAAGAUACAAAAAAAGAGUAACACUUAACUUCAUAAGAAAUAUCAAACCAUUUAUUAUAAAUUAUUCAUUAAACGUAGUGAAUUAUUUUAUAUGGGAAAAUUCUCUUUGAAAUAAUAUUUGUAUGGCUUCCUAAAAUCAGACAAGGUUAGCUACACUUGAGUUUCUUACUUUCUUGCAUAUAAGUCAGAAAUAUUCUUUGAAAAGCUCAAAUACAAGAUAAGGUGUAUUCUCCACAUCUCUGUGUGUGUGUGUCGCAUGCAUGCACACACAUUAUCUCCACAUACACACACAUAUACACACACACACACACACGCACACAUCCUUAUUGUUAUUUUCUUCUCAUCUUCUAAAUGUAUUUAUUUGACUCCCAGUAGAAGACAACUGUAAGCUACAGGGAAAAAAUGCAAUUAAAUUUAUGUUCAGAAGAACAUAAACAAUGGGAAUAUGUUCUGAGAAAUUCAUCAUUAGGUGAUUUUGCAUUAUGUGAAUAUCAUAGAGAGUACUUACACAAAUGUAGCUAGUAUAACCUACUACAUACCUAGGCUAUAUGGUCUAGUGGAUUGCUCCUAGGCUACAAAUCUGUACAGAUGUUACUGUACUGAAUACUACAGGUGACUGUAACACAUGUUACGUAUUUGUGUAUCUACACAUAGAAAAGGUACAAUAAAAAUACAGUGUAGAAGAUAAACAAUGGUACAUGUGUAUGGACACUUACCAUAGAUAGAGAUUGCAAGAUGAAAGUUGCUGUGGGUGAGUCAGUGAGUCAAUGGUGAAUGAAUGUGAAGGCCUAGGACAUUGCUGUAAUCUUCUGUAGACUUUAUAUACACUGUACACAUAGGCUACUCUAAAUUUAUUUUAACAAAUUUUCUUCAAUAAUAAAUUAAUCUUAGCUUCCUUAACAUUUGUACUUUGUAAACUUUUUUUUAAACUUUCUCUUUUGUAAUAACACUUAGCUUAAAACACACAUUGCAUAGCUGUACGAAAAUAUUUUCUUUAUAUCCUUAUUUUAUAAAUUUGUAUUUUUAAUUUUUUUUUUACUUUUUAAGCUUUAUCAUUAAAAACUAAGACAUAAACACACAGAUUAGCUUAGGUAUACACAGGGUCAGGGUCGUCAAUAUCACUGUCUUCCACCUCCCCGUACUGUCCCACUAGAAGGUCUUCAAGGAGCAUUAACACACAUGAAGCUGUUUAUCUCCUAUAACAAUGUCUUCUUUAGGAAUACUUACUGAAGGAACUGCCUGAGGCCAUUUUACAGCUAACUAAAAAAAAAAUAAGUCUAAGAAGUACACUCUAAAAUAAUGAUAAAAAAUAUGGUAUUGGAGCUCAGAAAACAGUACCUCAAAAGGAAGGCCUCAGAAGCAAAAGGUUCUCCCUGAUCUUUUGCCAUCCUGUUUCUGGCCACUCAUUCUCUCUUAAGGCUGGCCAUUGAAACUAGAAUCCCUUCUUCCCAAGGCACGUCAUAGAAACCAGAACCCUUUUCCCCAAAGCCAGCUUAAAAAUAUUACUUUAACUUAAAAUAAAAUUUUAAAAUAUUACUUUAACUCCCACCUCACCCCUGCCUUUCUGUAUAAAAAUUGGCCAUAAAAAAUUAUCUCACCUACCUUGUUUGACUGUAGGUCAUAAGACCCCCCAUUCUAGAGAGGCUCCUGCCCCUUACCCAGAAGUAAGGAACGCUGCACAGAAAGGCCAGGAAGAAUCUAAACAGACAGGCCUUACUGGGUUCUCCCACUCAGUCUAUUAGCAUUAGAUCAUACCCUUUUUGUCCAAUCAUAUUUGCACAUGCUAUACAUACUUUGUUGAACCAAAGUAUAAAAAUGGACUGUUUCCUUCAUCUUUGUGUCUUCAUUCUAAAGGCUCCCAAGUCAUGUAAAAUUAUAAUAAAUUUGUAUUUGCCUUUUUUAUUAAUCUGCUGUUUUGUCAGUUGAUUUCCAUCAAACCUUCAGAGGGUGAAGGAGAAGUUUUCCCUGGGUCCCUACAAUAGUAUAGAUAAAUACAUAAACCAGUAACAUAGUCAUUUACUACCACUAUAAAGUAUUAUGUACUGUAUAUAUUUGUAUGUGCUAUACUUUUAUAUGACUGGCAAAGCAAUAGGUUUAUUUACAGCAGCAUCACCACAAACAUAUGAGCAAUGCAUUUUGCUCUGGCAUUAUGAUGGCUACAACAUCACGAGGUCAUAGGAAUUUUUCAGCUCCAUUACAAUCUUAUAGGACCACUAGUGUCAUUAACUGGAAUGUUGUUGUGUGGCACUUGACCAUAUAUGUUUUAAUGUUGAAGAGUGAAUUAAAUUAAUAACAGGGAAUUUCUUUGCUUUGGUUUACUUAAAUGUGAAAAUGGAUUGCUAUUUAAGCAGAGUGUACAAAAUAAAUACUUUUUUCACAUUCUAGUAAAAUGGCCAGUUUAAUAAUAUUUUGAACAAAAAAAAUUCCCCCCAGACCAAGGUGUUUUUUAUUUAAUAGGGAAAAAUAGUGCUAAAAUUUCAAAUGAUUUUUUUUUUCUUUCUUUUCUGUCACUCCUCUGGCUCUUUUUCCCAAUGAAUGAAUGAACCUGGGAAGAAUUAUCAGUCUGAUACGUGGUAAGUAAGUGGUUUCUAGGUAUUUAAUAUGCCUUUUCCUGAUAACUAAUUUGCCAGAUAGAUUUUCCAAAAAUGGUUGCAACAAUAUCUCCCAUCCCUGAUUCUCUUCUUAAAUAUGACUUUGACAACUUUUCUAUCAAGAGGUAGGGUCUAUAUCCCCUUCCCUUGAAACUAAGAGGGUCUGUGGUUAAGGCAGAACUGACACUCAGUGACUUUUGAGCUAAGUCAUAAAAGAUGAUACAACUUAUGGCUGGUUCUGACUCAAUCUUGGAACCCAGCCAUCAUGUUGUGAAGAAUCUCAGGACAUUUACAGAGGCUUCAUAGGUUUCUGGCAGACAGCUCCAGCUUACAACAGCAUCAACCAACAGACUUGUGAGUGAAGAUGGCUCCUGAAGGUAUCAGCCCCCCGCUGUCCAGUCACCUCCCAGCUUUUGAGUCUUUCCAGCCGAGACCCCAGACACCAAGGCACAGAGACAAACGUCUGCAUUGUAACCUGUCCAAAAUUCUGACCCACAGAGUUCUUGGCAUAAUAUAAUGAUUGUUUUAUGUCACUAAAGUUUGGAGUGGCUUGUCACAUUGCAAUAAAAAAUUGCAACAACGAA